UACCAAGUCCUGCUUCAUGGAUCCACGGACUCAGAUGCUCCCAGUUGAGCGCAAGUCCUUCCACUGGGGAGGGGGCUGAAGCUCCUGAUGGACUGCGGCUUUGGAUCUUCCACCUGAGUGCAUGAUCCAAAGGGAGUUUAUCCCUGCUGGCCCUCAGUCCUGGUAGGUCAAAGUGAGAAGACUCAGGUACUUGUUGUGAAGCUGCGCCCAGGGAGAACCUGCUCGCCUCCUGCCUCUUCCCUCUUUGCUUGCGGCUCCGAUCAGGUGUCGGCACUGCAACAAGACAGGCUUCCACUUUUGCCCAGAAAUUGUCAAAGUGCUCUGUCAAGCGUUCUAGUGUGUGCUCUGCUGCACCUUGGUGAGUCUUCAUUAACUGUUACGACCUUUGUUCUGGGAACGGUUGCGUGUUCCGCCAUCUUGAGUGGGUCUGCUGCAGGCAUAACAGGCAUCGGAGCAAUUGCUUUGACGGAGGCUCAGUCAGUAAGCCAGUGGGGUCUGGGAUAACCCCCACCAGUUCAGGGGGGUGGGACAGCUGAGUGUGUCAGAUUGUAAGCCAUUGAACUAGGAGAGCGGCUGCUUGGUUUAGGUGAUCGCGUGAGGGAGAAGCUUGUGUGAGUUGUCAGGAAGGUUACCGGCAGCAAGCAAUUAGCACGGGUGGCCUGGGUUUAAACCCCCAAAUUUCGGAACCAGAUGCAUGAGCCUUUAGGAGCACAUCUGGUCUGCUAGGCACUCAGGCUCUGCCCCCAGAACAUGCAAUUCUUAAUAGUGUAAAUAAGCCUUACUUCAGUAGUGAGGAAUGUAAUGGGAACCAUGUUAAAGGAUAGGAUUGCUGAACAUCUAAAAACACAUGGAUUUCAAGAUCAGAGACAACAUGGGUUUACUUCAGGGAGAUCAUGCCAAACUACCGGUAAUCUUAUUGAUUUUUUUGAUUGGGUAACUAAAAUUAUAGAUCAGGGUGGUGCAAUAGACAUUGCUUACCUAGAUUUCAGUAAGGCUUUUGACACUGUUGCAUAUAUAAGGCUUAUCAAUAAACUGCAAUCUUUAAGUUUGGAUUCCAAUAUUGUUGAAUGGGUAAGGAAGUGGCUGAGUGACAGGCAACAGAUGGUUGUAGUCAAUGGAGUAUAUUCGAAGCAUGGUCUUGUCACCAGUGGGGUACCUCAGGUAUCUGUACUUGGACCCAUUCUCUUUAAUAUUUUUAUAAGUGAUAUUGCAGAAGGUCUUGAUGGUAAGGUAUGUCUUUUUGCUGAUAAUAACAUUUGCAACAAGGUUGAUGUUCCAGGAGGAAUAAGCCAAAUGAUUUAGGUAAACGAGAAAAAUGGUCUGAGUUUUGGCAACUGAUAUUUAAUGUAGAUAGGUGCAAGAUAAUUCACCUUGGACGUAAAAACCCAAGGGCAGAGUACAGAAUAUUUGAUACCUUACCAACCUCAACAUCUGACGAAAGGGAUUUAGGAGUAAUUAUUUCAGAUGACUUAAAGGUAGGAAGACAAUGUAAAAGAGCAGCUGGAAAUGCUAGCAGAAUGCUUGGUUGUAUAGGGAGAAGUAUUAGCAGUAGAAAGAGGGAAGUGCUCAUGCCAUUGUACAGAACACUGGUGAGACCUCACUUGGAGUAUUGUAUGCAGUACUGGAGACCGUAUUUUCAGAAGGAUAUUGAUACUUUAGAGAGAGUUCAGAGAAGGGCUACUAAACUGGUUCAUGGAUUGCAGGAUAAAACUUACCAGGAAAGGUUAAAGGAACUUAAUAUGUAUAGCUUGGAGGAAAGACGAGAGGGGGGAUAUGAUAGAAAUAUUUAAAUACAUAAAGGGAAUCAACACAGUAAAGGAGGAGACUAUAUUUAAAAGAAGAAAAACUACCACAACAAGAGGACGUAGUCUUAAAUUAGAGGGGCAAAGGUUUAAAAAUAAUUUCA
rnacentral:lncRNA from 1 species